CCCUUAGAUGUUCUGGGCUGCACGCGCGCUACACUGAUGCGUUCAACGAGUGUAUCACCUUGCCCGAUAGGGUUGGGUAAUCUUUUGAACACGCAUCGUGAUGGGGAUAGAUUAUUGCAAUUAUUAAUCUUCAACGAGGAAUUCCUAGUAAUGAUGAAUCAUCAGUUCAUCGUGAUUACGUCCCUGCCCUUUGUACACACCGCCCGUCGCUCCUACCGAUUGAGCAAUCCGGUGAAUACUUCGGACCGCGCGGUCUGCAGUUUCUGCGUUCCGUGCGGAAAGUUGCGCAAACCUUAACAUUUAGAGGAAGGAGAAGUCGUAACA
rnacentral:rRNA from 1 species